GUAUUUUUAAACUUUUAUUAAA
rnacentral:tRNA from 1 species